AAUGAACGCUGGCGGCAGGCCUAAACAUGCAAGUCGAACGCUGUAGCAAUACAGAGUGGCGCACGGGUGAGUAACAUGUGGGAAUAUGCCUAUUGGUACGGAACAACGUUUGGAAACGAACGCUAAUACCGUAUGGUCCCUUCGGGGUAAAGAUUUAUCGCCAAUAGAUUAGCCCGCACUAGAUUAGCUAGUUGGUGAGGUAAGAGCUCACCAAGCCGACGAUCGGUAGCUGGUCUGAGAGGAUGAUCAGCCACACUGGGACUGAGAUACGGCCCAGACUCCUACGGGAGGCAGCAGUGGGGAAUAUUGGACAAUGGGGGCAACCCUGAUCCAGCAAUGCCGCGUGAGUGAUGAAGGCCUUAGGGUUGUAAAGCUCUUUUGCCAGGGAAGAUGAUGACUGUACCUGGAGAAUAAGCCCCGGCUAACUUCGUGCCAGCAGCCGCGGUAAU
rnacentral:rRNA from 1 species